ensembl:lncRNA
UCUGUUUUCUCAUAUCACAACUAUUAAACUCUGUAACUGUUUUAAAAUCACCAAUGGCCUCAUGGUAAAAACCCUGAGCAGUUUCUCCAGCAACUGAGUAAGAAAGGACUCCUGUAUCUUUGUAGUGUCUGGGUUUAUUGAUACACCAUCCAAAGCCUAAUUAAUAACUUCACCAUGCUCAAAGGAAUAUUUUUUAUAUUCACAAACCAAUCGGUGCCCUUCUUUGCGAGGCAUUGAAAAACCUCCCUGGUCUUUGUAGUUGAAUCUGUGCUUGAAAUUCACUACUGGAUUGAGGGACCCGUAUGUGUGGGGUACAGAGAUGGAGUAGUCAUUCAAAAAUCAUGUCAACAACUAUUAUUGAACAAAGAAUUAGUGCAUGCAAACUAUUACAUGAUUUUUUAAAGCACGUUUGUAAUCCUGAACUCAUUUAGGCUUGCCACAAGAAAGCGGUUGAAUAAUUACUGACUUAAGACAUUUCAACUUUUCAUUUUUGAUUAAUUUAGAAAAUCUACAAACAAAAUUCCACUUUGACAUUAUUGGGCAUUUGUGUGAUCUACAAUUUAAUCAAUUUUAAAUUCAGGCUGUAACAUCAAAAAAUGUGGAACAGUGACUGCCCAAUGCCACAAAAGCAAAGGAUGCAGAAGUCGUGUUGGCUGCAAGGCCCUUUAGUACAAUGCCUUUUAAAACAGAGCUUGGUAAAUACAAUGUUGUAGGACUGAUCUGGGCUGCAUUGUAUAUGUUUGUACACCUAAUCCCAUAUUGUGUGACAUAAAUACAUGACUGAGAAUUAUAGAGAGGUUUAUAACCACAUCAAUUCACGGGUCAUUUGUGUCAUAUGUAGCAAACGCAAAAUCUCUCUCUCUCUCUCGCUUUCUCAGCCUUUUCUCUCUUUCACUCAACAUGUUAUAUCAUGUUAUAUCUACCUGGCGUCUUGGCAACGCUGGUAGCAGGUGACACUGCAGACAAUACAAGUAUAACCACUUGAGAUACGAAAACAGGACGAAUGACUGUUAAUCAAACAAAUCUAGUUUCAUUCUCAGGUCACCUGCUAUGUCAUGUGCUUGCACAGCUCCAAUCUGGAUUUAACCGUGCAGAGAAAAGCACAAUAAACAGAGCCAUUUCAUUUUCUUUGAAAAACAAUAAGGAUUGUGGAAGAAAACAACUAAAACGGCAACCAUGUUUACAUCACGACACAAAUGUAAUCCAGGCUACCUGGCUACAGCACAAGUAUAACCACUUGAGAUAAGGAAACAGGAUGGAACGACCGUGACAGAAGCACGUUUUUUUUAUUCUCAGGUCACAGGCUGCGUUGUGUUUGCACAGCCUUCCUUUUAUUUUCUUAGCGACCUUUCAGAGCUCCUUUUGUUGUAGAAGAAUUUCUACCUUUCGGCACAUGGCGUCUACACCUGCACCGAGCGGUGUUGGUUUGUCUCUUCUGAUCACACUCUUCCUGCACGCACUGAGGUUUGAACCUACAGGGUUGGCCAAAGGGGUGGUGGGAGGAGGGGGAAGGGAAGGGUACGUCUUUGGGAAUGCUCUAGAUCUUUUGUUUUGCCCAGCAAGAUGGCUUAACAGGAUGCAAGUGGUUCUUAGUUGCUUUGGAGGAAAUGCCUCUGGGGUAUUGGGACUGGAUAAUUAGCCUUUGUGUGUUUCUGAGUGGUGUUUACCACUGUUUACCUUGUGAUGAUGUUUAUAUAAUGGGGAAGUUGGUCGCUUACUGUCACGUCUAAAUCUGUGUCAGACCUAUUAUUCAAGAUGUGUCUGGACUGGAGACAAGAGUUUAUGUUGUUGUUUCGAAACCAAUUACGUUUUUAACAUCAUAAAUUGGAUUAUCAUUGUUGUCAUUGUUAUUGAUAGCAAUACAAGCAAGCUAAUAAAAGACAACACAAUAGAAGUUGAACCUAUUGUAAAAAUACUAAACAACAUUCGUACAACACCUAUCGACUUCAGCAAGAGUUUUUAGCCUUUUGGGAAUGGUUUCAGAAUGACAGUCGCAGGUCCCAGGGUUUGAGUCCCAGUCAGGGUACCCAAGUGAUUAGAUAUAUUCAUGUCAGCAGUUGGACAGCACCAUUUAAAGCAUGUAAUGGCCAAGUUUUAGUCACAAUCCAAUUUUUCACAAUUGAUGUGCUAGCUGAGUAUACAUAACAUUAGGAACACCUUAUAUUGAGUUACAUCCCCAACUUUUGCCCUCAGAACAGUCUCAAUUUGUUGGGGCAUGGACUCUACAAGGGGUCGAAAGCGUUCCACAGUAAUGCUGGUCCAUGUUGACCCCAAUGCUUCCUACAGUUGUGGCUUGUGGCUAAUGAUGAUUGGAUGCAGUUGAGCAGAUUGGAUGGUCAUGGCUCUAUGUCCAUAUGUGAAAUUUCUUUUUAAUAGGCCGCGCUCCAAUAUGGGUGCCUGGAGCCUUAUAUGGAGUUCCUGCUUCAGGGCCUCGGUUCAAUAUGACUGUCGGUGCCCAUGUAUGGAGUUCCUGUUCCGGGCCAAAUUCCAAUACGAACGUCUGUGCCGCACACUUCAAAUCAAAUCAAAUCAAAUUUAUUUAUAUAGCCCUUGUACAUCAGCUGAUAUCUCAAAGUGCUGUACAGAAACCCAGCCUAAAACCCCAAACAGCAAGCAAUGCAGGUGUAGAAGCACGGUGGCUAGGAAAAACUCCCUAGAAAGGCCAAAACCUAGGAAGAAACCUAGAGAGGAACCAGGCUAUGUGGGGUGGCCAGUCCUCUUCUGGCUGUGCCGGGUGGAGAUUAUAACAGAACAUGGCCAAGAUGUUCAAAUGUUCAUAAAUGACCAGCAUGGUCGUAUAAUAAUAAGGCAGAACAGUUGAAACUGGAGCAGCAGCACGGUCAGAUGGACUGGGGACAGCAAGGAGUCAUCAUGUCAGGUAGUCCUGGUGCAUGGUCCUGGGGCUGAGGUCCUCUGAGAGAGAGAAAGAAAGAAAGAGAGAAUUAGAGAGAGCAUAUGUGGGGUGGUCAGUCCUCUUCUGGCUGUGCCGGGUGGAGAUUUUAACAGAACAUGGCCAAGAUGUUCAAAUGUUCAUAAAUGACCAGCAUGGUCGAAUAAUAAGGCAGAACAGUUGAAACUGGAGCAGCAGCACGGCCAGGUGGACUGGGGACAGCAAGAAGUCAUCAUGUCAGGUAGUCCUGGGGCGCAGGUCCUCCGAGAGAGAGAAAGAAAGAGAGGAGAGAAUUAGAGAACGCACACUUAGAUUCACACAGGACACCGAAUAGGACAGAAGUACUCCAGAUAACAAACUGACCCUAGCCCCCCGACACAAACUACUGCAGCAUAAAUACUGGAGGCUGAGACAGGAGGGGUCAGGAGACACUGUGGCCCCAUCCGAGGACAUCCCCGGACAGGGCCAAACAGGAAGGAUAUAACCCCACCCACUUUGCCAAAGCACAGCCCCCACACCACUAGAGGGAUAUCUUCAACCACCAACUUACCAUCCUGAGACAAGGCUGAGUAUAGCCCACAAAGAUCUCUGCCAUGGCACAACCCAAGGGGGGGCGCCAACCCAGACAGGAUGACCACAUCAGUGAAUCAACCCACUCAGGUGACGCACCCUUGAGUACUUGAGACAAGGCUGCGUUCCAAUAUGGAAGACAAUUCCCAUAUACGCAAUUUCCUGCUGUGAAUUAAACUGUUUGUCUGAAGCCUAAAGGGGUCUACAGAGGAUACACAAACAGGGAGCGUACCGUAGCUCCAUCAUCCACAUGUUUUUUUCCACCUGGAAUCUGAGACCCUAAUUAUCCAUGUACUCUUAUAAUCUCCACCCGGCACAGCAAGAAGAGGAAUGGCCACCCUUAAGAGCCUGGUUCCUCUAGGUUUCUUCCUAGAUUCCUGCCUUUCAAGGGAGUUUCAGCUAGCCACCGUGCUUCUACGUCUGCAUUGCUUGCUGUUUGGGGUUUUAGGCUGAGUUUCUGUAUUAGCACUUUGGGACAACUGCUGAUGUAAAAAGGUCUUUAUAAAUAUAUUAUAUUGUAAAAUGAUCAUGAUGUUUGUAUGUGGCUGCUAUGAUAGUGAACAGUGUUUGAUUGUGACCAGGGGUAUAUUCAUUCGACCGACCGACGGAAGCAAACGGAACGAAAUGUGGAUAAACAUACCUGAAGUUGUCCAAUAGACACUAUCGUUUGCAACUGUUGGACUAAUGAUUACACCCCUGAUCAGGGUACAUUCUGAUGUCUGGAAGUUCCUGGGGAAGGGCUGGUUCCUCAACAACCAAGAUAGCCCUAGGACCAUGCCUCAGGACUACCUGACCUGAUGACUCCUGGCCGUCCCCAGUCCACCUGGUUGUGCUGCUGCUGCUCCAGUUUCAACUGUUCUGCCUGCGGCUACGGAACCCUGACCUGUUCACCAGACGUGCUAGCUUGUCCCGGACCUGCUGUAUUCAAAUCUCUCUCUCUCUUUCUCUCUCUCUUUCUUUCUUUCUUUCUUUCUUUCUUUUUUUCUUUCUCUCUCUCUCUCUUUCAACCACACCUGUUGUCUAAACCUCUGAAUGUUUGGCUAUGAAAACCCAAAUUACAUUUACUCCUGAGGUACUGACCUGUUGCACCCUCUGCUACUAUGAUUUUUAUUUGACCCUGCUGGUCAUCUAUGAAUGUUUGAACAUCUUGAAGAACAAUCUGGCCUUAAUAGCUGUGUACUCUUAUAAUCUCCAUGCGGCAUAGCCAGAAGAGUACUGGCCACCCCUAAGAGUCUGGUUCCUCUCUAGGGUUCUUCCUAGGUUCCUACCUUUCAAGGGAGUUUUUCCUAGCACGCCGUGCUUCUACGUCUGCAUUGCUUGCUGUUUGGGGUUUAAGGCUGAGUUUCUGUAUUAGCACUUUGGGACAACUGCUGAUGUAAAAAGGUCUUUAUGAGUAAAUUAUAUUGGAAAAUGAUCAUGAUGUUUGUAUGUGGCUGCUAUGAACGUGAACAGUGUUUGCUUGUGAUCAGGGUUGUAUUCAGUCAAACUAUUCUUUUCUUAAACGGAAACAAACAGAACGAAACAGCACGCAACUGUUGGACUAAUGAUUACACCCCUGAUCAGGUAUAGAUGUGUAACGCUCGAAGAGGAUGGGUGUGGAGUCAGGCAAAGAGAGCAGAAGUAUCUGGGGCACAGAGAGCAGAAGUAUCUGGGGAAAAACGCUUUAAUGUCCAAAACAGGAACACGUACAAUGGGGAAACAUACCAAACCCAAGUGCAACUGGUAAUACAGGACAGCGAAAACCCAACAAUAUUCAGAGUACACCUCUAACAUAAACAGUAACAAGCCCGUACAAACACAGGCGGACUAACCAAACUUAAAUAACCCCAACCCCAAAACCCCAACAAGGAACAGGUGAAAACAAUUAGACAAAACCAAACGAAAAGGGAAAAGAGGGAUCGGUGGCAGCCAGUAGACCGGAGACGAUGACCACCGAGCGCCGCCCGAACGGGAAGGGGAACCACCUUCGGUGAUAUUCGUGACAAGAUGCAGACUAGACGGUGCAAGGCAGUAUUGAAUGUUUCACUGUCUGUCACCUUGAUUACUAAAAUGUCUAUCUCGACCUGUGAAUCUACGUUGUAAACUUUAAUGUUGUUGUAGGUUGUAGCAAUCUCAUAAUGUGUAUUGGAAAAACCUGAGAAUCAUGUAGUAGACAAAACCUAUCAAUGUUACAUUGAUCUCUCUCUCUCUCGCUCUCUCGCUCUCUCUGUAUCUCUCUCUCUCUACCACACCUGUUGUCUAAUCCUCUGAAUGCUCAGCUAUGAAAACCCAAAUGAAAUAUACUCCUGAGGUACUGACCUGAUGCACAGGCUACAACCACUGUGAUUAUUAUUUGACCUUGCUGGUCAUCUCUCUCUCGCUUUUUCUCUCUCACUCUCUCUGAAAUUCAAUAGGCAGUAAUGACAAGGUCAAUGUUGUCAACGUGAAGUGAUAAACAUAAACAUGACGAAAACAGCAAGUACAAUAGGAAUAGUAAAUAUAUUAUAUCAUAUAAUAUAUAUAGAAGAAAUAGAACAAAUCAAUAUCCAAUACAGAAAUGCAAUAAUGUUCAACGUUCAGAAUGUAAUUCAACAAAGAAAAAUUGCUGGUGGUACUGUUGUUGUGUAUUACCUGUAAUACUGUAUAUAGAUUAAAUAGUACAUAGAGACAUAUAAAAGUAAUCUCAAUAGUUGUCUGUCUCUCAUUUUCUGGAAAGUUGCAGAACUAACAUUACUGGUUGAUCAUUGUAACAAUAAAACCACAGUAACCUGAAUAACAUCAACUUGCUACCAGGAAGCUACUACUGUCUUGAAUUCUUUGAAUAAGACAAAUAUUUUACCUGCAGAAGGUGUGUGACUGCGUAGGCCAUUCAAAGAUUGGUCUACGCAGACUCACAACGCUCUGACAACCAACAGUUGACAUAUAAAAGCUUAAAGCAUUCUCUGGAGUCACGCAGGCUUCAGAAACAAAUCACAAUCCUUGACUCUUUCCACAUUUUGUUGUGUUACAGCAUGAAUUGUAAAUGGAUUAAAUUGAGAUUUGUUGUCACUGGCCUACACACAAUACCCCAUAAUGUCAAAGUGGAAUUACAGUUUUUCUCAAUUGCUAAAACACAAUUUCUGAAUUUUUGGUGGUCUU